GACGAACGCUGGCGGCGUGCUUAACACAUGCAAGUCGAACGGAAAGGCCCUGCUUUUGUGUGGUGCUCGAGUGGCGCACGGGUGAGUAACACGUGAGUAACCUGCCCUUGACUUUGGGAUAACUUCAGGAAACUGCUGCUAAUACCUGAUAGGAGCUCCUGCUACAUGGUGGGGUUUGGACAGUUUCGGCGGUUGGGGAUGGACUUGGGGCUUAUCAGCUUGUUGGUGGGGUAGUGGCUUACCCAGGCUUUGACGGGUAGCCCGCCUGAGAGGGUGACCGGCCACCUUGGGACUGAGAGACGCACCAGACUCCUACGGGAGGCAGCAGGGGGGAAUAUGGCACAAUGGGCGGAAGCCUGAUGCAGGAACGCCGCGUGCGGGAUGAAGGCCAUCGGGGUGUAAACCGCUUUCGCCUGUGACGAAGCGUUAGUGACGUUAAUGGGUAAAGAAGCACCGGCUAACUACGUG
rnacentral:rRNA from 1 species